UACGUAGGGUGCAAGCGUUAAUCGGAAUUACUGGGCGUAAAGCGUGCGCAGGCGGUUUCUUAAGUCAGGGGUGAAAGCCCCGGGCUUAACCUGGGAACUGCGUUUGAAACUGGGAGACUAGAGUGUGGCAGAGGGGGGUGGAAUUCCACGUGUAGCAGUGAAAUGCGUAGAUAUGUGGAGGAACACCGAUGGCGAAGGCAACCCCCUGGGUUAACACUGACGCUCAUGCACGAAAGCGUGGGGAGCAAACAGG
rnacentral:rRNA from 1 species